CAGCAACAACAUAAGUCGCAACAACAGCAACAGUUAAUGCUUCCCAGGCCACGUGCGCGAUGUUUUCAUUUUCAAACAAGUCGCAAGUAUACGAAGUACCCAUGUUAUUUACAUCAAAUGGAAACCUACCGAUUGAACCAAUGGCAAUUUAAUCAGUUUUCGACUCCGUGAAAGGUAACAGAGAGCGUGGAUACAUGUCAUGAAUAUCUUCUUACUUUGUCGAUUGAGCAGACCAUCAGCGGAUUGGAAUGAGAAGAUUGGAGAUAGCUCAACUCGCGCUUAAAAAGCAAAAUCAUAGGGUAUGAAGCAUAGGACUGGAUGGUUUCAAAACAGCAAUGCAUUGUGGGUUAAAUGGCAGUGCUGAUGGACAUAGAAAACAGCAAUGAUCGUGAACGAUAGGUGCGAAUUGACGUGCUCGACGACCAUGGUGCCAGUAUUCCAAAGACCUGAUGCCUUUUGAUGUCUGUGAAGAUUGUGGGAUUGCUUCUUUGAAAAGAAAACAUUAUUUGUGAUACAUGUAUCGAUAUUCGAGUGUCAAAAAUGAGAUUGCUUGGAUAAAGUAAUUCGAAGGCAAAGUUCUGAGAGGUUGAAGAUUACAGGACCCUGAGUCACGCCUUAGCAUUGAAUGGCUUUCGUUUAGGUAUAAUCUGCUAUUAUUGUAGCUAAUAAGUUGCAUCCCAUAAUAGUUGCUAAAAGCCAACAACAUACGUAGUAUUCGACGUAUAAACUUACCUGACAAUUAUUUAAUUUGUUCUCUCAGCAAUUUCCAGCAUUUUCGCGCUCCUUUAUUGACCGUGACUAGAGUUGUUUGCUGUAAGAGGGUCUUCGAGGGCAUUUCUCUCAGGCAUUGAUGCCUCUCUGGUCUAUUGUUUGAAUUGCACGGGAAAAUGAAAAGGUUUUUAGCAUUCAUUUUCAAAUGAUUCAACCAAAGAAUGGGGCAGGGGGCUCAGCCUUUUCUGUGUAUGAGCAAAUAAGGGCAUACGAUAUUCAAAAGAUAUUGCUUUGUGGAACUCAGUCCAAAAACAGAUUUCUUAGGGACUUAUCCGUUUUUAAGAGGUUUCUUCAUUCAAUCUCAAUUUACUUUGACUUGCACUGCUUAUCCUUUGUAUUUGUUUCCAUUACAAUAAAAAUGUUGUAUCUUUUGUCAUUUCAAUGUUGCUAAAUUUUAAUAUGGUAUAGUCCUGCGUCGAUUUGCCCCUACCAUGGAAGUAAGAAAUUGCUAAGAAAUCCUCACCUUUGAAUAAGUUGCCAAUUGUUGCCUUUUGAUCAGUAUCAUGAUAUUAGUCCAUGAUAAGUCACAUAUGCAGCAGUAAAUGACAAGCUAAGAUAAACGAGGUAUUUUUACCAUUUUUUA